rnacentral:rRNA from 1 species
GACGAACGCUGGCGGCGUGCCUAAUACAUGCAAGUCGAACGAAGUGGGGACGGGUGAGUAACACGUGGGUAACCUCCCAUCAGAGGUGAUAACACUUGGAAACAGGUUCUAAACCGAUACUGAUGGAUGGACCCGCGGUGCAUUGGCUAGCUGGUGGGGUAACGGCUCACCAAGGCCACGAUGCAUAGCCGACCUGAUAGGUGGACCGUCCACACGGGAACGGAGACACGGCCCAGACUCCAACGGGAGGGAGCAGUGGGGAAUCUUGGGCAAUGGACGAAAGUCGGACGGGGCAACGCCGCGUGGGUGAAGAAGGUUUUCGGUUCGUAAAACUCUGUAGUUGGGGAGGCGGUAUCUAACGAGAAAGCCACGGCUAACUACGUGCCAGCAGCCGCGGUAAUAC